rnacentral:rRNA from 1 species
UGCCGCGUGCAGGAUGAAGGCCUUCGGGUUGUAAACUGCUUUUGUACGGAACGAAACGGUCCCUUCUAAUAAAGGGGGCUAAUGACGGUACCGUAAGAAUAAGCACCGGCUAACUACGUGCCAGCAGCCGCGGUAAUACGUAGGGUGCGAGCGUUAAUCGGAAUUACUGGGCGUAAAGCGUGCGCAGGCGGUGAUGUAAGACAGAUGUGAAAUCCCCGGGCUCAACCUGGGACCUGCAUUUGUGACUGCAUCGCUAGAGUACGGUAGAGGGGGAUGGAAUUCCGCGUGUAGCAGUGAAAUGCGUAGAUAUGCGGAGGAACACCGAUGGCGAAGGCAAUCCCCUGGACCUGUACUGACGCUCAUGCACGAAAGCGUGGGGAGCAAACAGGAUUAGAUACCCUGGUAGUCCACGCCCUAAACGAUGUCAACUGGUUGUUGGGUCUUUACUGACUCAGUAACGAAGCUAACGCGUGAAGUUGACCGCCUGGGGAGUACGGCCGCAAGGUUGAAACUCA